rnacentral:rRNA from 1 species
UACGGAGGGGGCGAGCGUUAUUCGGAAUUAUUGGGCGUAAAGGGCGCGUAGGCGGCUUGAUAAGUCAAAGGUGAAAUCCCUCGGCUCAACUGAGGAACUGCCUUUGAAACUGUCUGGCUUGAGGCCGGGAGGGGGUAGCGGAAUUCCCAGUGUAGCGGUGAAAUGCGUAGAUACUGGGAGGAACACCGGUGGCGAAGGCGGCUACCUGGACCGGUUCUGACGCUGAUGCGCGAAAGCGUGGGAUGAGCAAACAGG